ACAAAAUUGUACCAAACUUUCACAUAUUAGAGUAUAAAUGCUCAGAAUGAUUUUAAAAGUGAAACAAACUGUUUAGUAACAAUACUCGGCCUUUGAGAAGUGUUUUCAUUGGUUUGUCAUGAUUAUAACUUGCUAAUUUGAGUCAAACACUCAUGAAAUCUCAGCCACUGAUACAACAUGUAUAAACGACUAUUUUGGUGGCUAAUCUUUCAGCUACUUUCAGUGAAACCAAAUUUACAUUGAGAUGACAUGUCAAAAUUAGUGAAUUUUGCUUAAGUACAGUACAGUAAAGACCUCAGCUGAGAAACUCAU